AGUGCCCUCCUUACCCUUGGGAAGUGAGCACGCGCAGUGCGUUUAGGAAGUUGUACGCAUACCCAACUGAAGCUUUCUUCCCUUCUCCAGUGGAGUGCACCUGUGCACAGAAACUCUCUCUGUACCAUGUACCUGCUGCCAGAAGCUGGGAAGGAGUGGUGCUGGUGAUUCAAAACUGAUUUUCCUGCCUCUUCGAUGCCUCUUUUAGUGACAUACAGUUAAGACCAGGCACUCAUGAUUUUGCCUCUGAGUGGAUAUCAACAGGAAAUAGUUCCUGUAUCAUCAACAGAACAAGCAGCUGGACUGAGGAAACAAAAACACAAAGUCCAAAAUAGUGAUAUUGGCAGGGUAGACAUUACACGCAGGAUACCGGAAGGCCAGUCAGACCAUGAGGGCUUGUGCUGCAACCCCUAAGAAAGUCACUAAUGAUAAGGAGCAGAAGAAGAAAAAGAGUUUUUCCUUUAUCCCUUCCUGGUCCAGCUGUGUAUUUUUCACAUGAGAAGAUGGAAAACCUCUCCUCAUCCUAAUAUAACCCAUCUGUUAGUAGCAGAACCUCAGAGGCAUUAGAAACAGUUCUCUUUUCUGUUCAAAAUAUUCACAGUCCUUGAAUCAUCUGCAUGUUAAACAAUAUUCUAAGCAAAAUCCACACCACUUGAAUAAUUGUACAGACUUGUAAAAGAUCUACCUAGAAACUUGUGGCUUAUAUCAUGUAUGAAGUCUGAUAAGGUUGUUCGUUAAAAAAUCGUAUCACCUUAUCGUCACAUAUUGCUUAUUGUUGAUAAAAAGGAAGAAGCAAUGCCUCUUGUUUUUAAUCCAUUAUGACAAUACAGAAUUAAGGAAAAUGAGUUUUAAUAGAAUGUUUAUUUAUCGUGCAGUUUCAGAGUCAAAUUCAGAAAAAUACAGGAGUUGGAAAACUGAGUGCAAGCAUUUGCUUUGCAAUUAAUGCAUUUGUUCUCAUUCAGCAAGUCAGUGGCCUCCUCUAGGAUCCUGCUACCUCAUCCAUAAAAGAAAAAGGAUUUGGGAAUUCUAAGUACCCUGCAGUUCAGACACACUAAGAUUCUUCAUCUCAUCCAUUGGCUUAUAGAGGUGACAAGUUAGGUCUCCUGAACAGUUUCCAAAGGCAUAAAAAAGUCAAUAGAAUGAUUCUUUCCAACAUAAGAAAAAUAGUAAAACUGUGCAUAGGACACUAUAAAAUGACAUCGGAGGAGACAGAGGCAAUUUGCUCGUUUGGAGAAAAUAGCAAGAUAAGAUAUGAAGUGCAUUGUAGCAGGGGAAUGAUACUGGAUCAUAACACUGAGUAAAAAGAUUUUGAAUAAGAGAUAGGCAACACAUUCUGGAACAAAUUACAUUGUGGAGGGAAACUGUGUAAAUAUAUAAGCUUUAGAGAUGGUAAACUAAAGCUCUUGAACCAGUGGACUAAAUAUAAAAAAAAGAAGUUCUAGAAGAGGGAAUUUCUACAUUUAUCAAAGCAUGCACUUCAAAGCCUCUUUCUCCUUUCCUACCGCACCAACUUUGAGAUUUUAGCUUUCUUUGUUAAUAAAGUAUAAUUCCUGUGACCAAGUGAUGGCAUCAUAUACCCCAGGAACCUUAUAAUAAAGUCUCUCCAGCCUUAAAAGAAAAAAUCACUUAAAUUCAAGAGUUCAUUUCUAGGUAAGCUAGCCAAUGGGUCAAAGUGAAAAAAUCCAAAAGUUAAGUUUGUUUUGAUUUGUUUUUCCCCACGUAAUUAUGACUUCCAUAAUUAUGGCUCCAAUUAAAGUAGAAACUCUGAGCUCUAGUAGGAUUUUCUCUGUGAAGCAGCUUGUAUGCUCCCUUUCCUGGUUUUCCAGAUUGGCUUAUAACUUCUGAACAAGGUUUAAUAGCUGAUUCCCAACUGCUCUUAAUGGAGAGUGAUCUCAAUACCAUUGUUGUGGAAUGAGUCAAGCAUAGAUGGGGUUCCAAAAUGCAGGGCUUUGGAUAGAGUUUUAAUUCACACUUGGCUGUAGGGAGCCCUAUACUCACAAAUAAGCCCAAAUUUAACUCUAGGUUUCCUCCCUGUCACUUUAUCUACUACGUGCAACUUUUUAAAUAGAAGCCUACCUGACUCUUUAAGAAAACUUUCUGCUAGGACAUCUUAGAAAAAUGACAUUGUGAGGAUUUAAAUAUAGCGAGACAUUUUAAAUCUUCAUGCUAUUAGACUAACCAGCUAUCAUCAUCAGUUAUAGUGGUGAUACCUGUAUCAUGGUCUAGCAGAUGAGAAAUAGGCAAGCAGAAGCUUUUGUUCCAAUUCCACCUUGAUCAUUAGCUUACUGAGAUAUUUCUCAUAAGUAAAAAAUAUUUCAACUCCCAUUUCUAAGCUUGAUUAUUAAAGAAUUGUUGUUUGCUGGCUUCAGAGAAGACAUAUAUGGAAUAAGUAUAUUUUUUAAAAAGUUAAUUGAAAUGAUAUGCCCUUAUUUUAAAGGUUCCUAUAGGGUAACACACUUCAACCUACAGAAUAUAAUAACCUUUACAAUGACUUCUUAUGGAAGCUUAAAUAUCUCUUCCUGUCAGAAAGAUAGAAUUGACAUACUUCAAGUUCUUAUGUGAUGUGGUUAAGUGUAGCUUGGUUUUGUAGUCCAAAAAUUUAUAAUCUAUAGAAAAAAAUUUCAGGAGACCAAGUAGGAUUCUAUUUUAAAAGCAAGAAGAGUCAAGUAGCAUCCCCAAGUCUUUCAUGAAAUCACACCAUUUCACGAAACUGCUCCAUCUUACAAACUUCUUGGGUAGUAAUCAAAGGCAAUCUGCUCUCUAGUAACUUCCACCUGUAUCAUACAGUUGAAAAAAAAUGAAGGCUAUGGAGUUACAACAUUAUAGUAAUUGAGCUGCCUAACCCCAGACCUGUUGAACCAGAUAAUGUGUUUGUUUACUCUGUCAAUUCUGUGUGGGAGUGCAUAGCUCCAAAAGAGCAUCCCUCACUCCCUCCAACUUCCCCAUCCAGGAAAACAGCUACAUGCUCAUGCAGGUCAGAAUCAUUUAUAUUGCAAAAUAUAUACAAGUCCUACCCUCAAUAUCUUCAGAUAUGGAUAUAUAUUGCUUGCUUGGAUUAAUCUACCUCUGUAUUCUACAACCUGAGCCAUUAAGAUUACUUCUGCCAUUGCACCCCAUCACAAGUUCAGCUCAUAUUCCUAUUGAUGGAUAAAGGAUGUGUCAAUAAAUAGGGGAACAGUAAGAAUAGAGACAGUAAUCAUUUUUUUUCUAGAAAAUUAUUUAAUGGGACCUGACUCCCUAAAAUUCCAAUGGGGGACAACUAACUAUUCUCAAUUCCUGAUGUGCUCAUAUUCGUCCACAUUUUUAUUUAACAUAUUUUUGUUUUGUUUUGUUUUGUUUUGUUUUGUUUUUGAGAUGGAGUUUCACUCUGUCGCCCAGGCUGGAGUGCAGUGGCGCGAUCUCAGCUCACUGCAUCCUCUGCCUCCCGGGUUUAAGCAGUUCUCUGCCUCAGCCUCCUGAGUAGCUGGGAUUACAGGCACCCACCACCACACCUGGCUAAUUUUUUUUUUUUUUUGUAUUUUUAGUAGAAACGGAGUUUCACCAUCUCAGCCAAGCUGAUCUUGAACUCCUGACCUCGUGAUCUACCCACCUCAACCUCCUAAAGUGCUGGGAUUACAGGCAUGAGCCUCCUCGCCUGGCCUAACAUGUUUAUUGAGACCCUAAUAUGUUUCAGACACUGUGCUAGGCUUUAGUGGUUCAGUGUCGGCUCAAACAGUGUUUGCUCUCAGGGAGUUCAUGCUCCAAUCUGGCAGAAAGAUAAGUAAAUGAAGUCAUACCUCAGAGAUAUUAGAGGUUCAGUUUCAGACCACCAUAAUAAAGCAAAUAUUGCAAUAAAGUGAGUCACACAUUUUUUUUUGUUUUACAGCACAUGUAAGAGUUAUGUUUAUAUUAUAUUAUAGUUUACUUGGUAUUCAAUAGCAUUAUGUCUAGAAAUGUACAUAUUUUAAUUUAAAAAUGUUUUAUUCUUAAAAAUGCUAAUGGACAUCUGAACCCUAAGCAAGUCAUCAUCUUUUUUCUGGUGAAGGUUCUUGUCUCAGUAUUGAUGGCUGCUGACUCAUCAGUCUGGUGGCUCCUAAAGGUUGAGAUGACUGUGACAAUUUCUUAAGAUAACAGUGAAGGUCACUACAUCGAUUGACUCUUCCUUUCAGAAAAGUUUUCUCUGUAGCGUGUGAUGAAGUUUGAUAGCAUUUUACCCAGAGUAGAACUUCUCUCAAAAUUGGAAUGAAUUAUCUCAAACCCUGCCACUGUCAACUAAGUUUAUGUAAUAUUCUAAGCCUUUUGUCGUCAUUUCAACAGUGUUCACAGGCUCUUCACCAAAAGUAGCUUCUAUCUCAAGAAACCAUUUUCCUUGCUUAUGCAUAAGAAGAAACUACUCAUCUAUUCCAGUUUUAUCAUGAGAUUGAAGCAAUUCAGUCACAUCUUCAGACUUCACUUCUAAAUCUAGUUUUCUUCCUGUUUUCACAACAUCUAAAGUUACUUUCUCUACUGAAGUCUUGAACCUCUCAAAAACUUUCAGUCAACAAGGAUUGAACUCAGAUUCUUCCAAACUCUUGUUCCUGUUAGUAUUUUGAUCUCGUACCGUGAAUCAUGAAUGUUUUUAAUGGCCUCUAAAAUGAUAAAUUCUUUCCAGAAGGUUUUCACUUUACUUUGCCCUGAUCACUAUGGUAGCUCUAGUGAAUCACUAUGGUAGCUAUAGCCUAACAAAAUGUAUUUCUUAAAUAAGAAGUCUUACUAAUUGAGAUUACUCCUUGAUCCAUGAAGUGCAGAAUGGAUAUUGUGUUAGCAGACAUGAAAAUAUCAUUAAUCUUCAUGUACAUCUCCAUCAGAGCCCUUGGGUGACUAGCUGCAUUGUCAAUGAGAAGUAAUAUUUUGAACGGAAUCUUCUGAGAAGCAGGUCUCAAUAGAAGGCUUAAAAUAUUUAGUAAGUCAUGAUGUAAACAGAUGUGUUGUCACCAAGACUUUGUUCUUCCAUUUAUAGAACACAGGUGGAGUAGAUUUAGCAAAAUUCUUAAGGACCUUAGGAUUUUCAGAAUGGUAAGUAAACACUGAAUUCAGCUUAAAGUUAACAGCAGCAUUAACCCCUAACAAGGGAGUAAACCUUUGAAGCUUGGAACCAGGCAAUUGACUUCUCUCUAGCUGUAAAAGUCCUAGAUGGUAUCAUCUCAUAAUAUAAGGCUGUUUUGUCUAUAUUGGAAAUCUGUUGUUUAGUGUAGCCACCUUCAUCAAUUUUCCUAGCUGGAUUUUCUGGAUAACUUGCUGCAGCUUCUAAAUCAGCUCUUGCUGUAUAACCUUGCAUUUUUCUUUUAUGAAAAUGGUUUCUUUGUUUAAACCUCCUGAACCAAGGUCUGAUAGUUUCAACCUCUUCUGGAGCUUUCUUACUUCUCUCAACCUUCAUGGAAUUGAAGAGACUUAGACCCUUGUUCUGGGUUAGGCUUUGGCUUAAGGGAAUGUUGUGAGUGGUUUGAUUCAUUAAGACCAAUAAAACUUUUUCCAUGUCAGC